UGUAUUUCUUGUCAACUUUCCCUGGAUUUACAUCCUUGACUCUAUCAGUAGGAUGAACCAGAGCAGGAAUUAGGGGACUUCUGCUUUUUUGUGAAUUGCACAGAGAAGGUACUCAAAUUCCAGCGGGAGGGGAUUGACUAAAAACUGGAGAUACAACAGUGAAAAUCAACAGGUUUCUAAAAUUAGGCAUAACACAAGUUAGUCUUUUCAUGAGCCUGGAAGUAUGUUCAGUUAUAGCAAUAUUUAGCCAUAUGCAAGGGGACAUAUACUCACUACAUAGCCUGGGGGAGGGAUGUGGUCAUUCAUUUCAAAAUUUUCCAAGGGGUUUCCAUUAUUGUGUUACUGCACUCAUUGGCCUAGAUUUUUUUGUAGCUCAGGUAGCUCGAGAAGGUCCCACGUGGGAGCUAGAGGUACUUUUGCAAUUUCCUCUUCUGGGUCACAGUAAGUUGUCAAGGUUAAGCACAAAUACUUCCUAUAUCUGUUUCAUCUCCAUGCCCUUCACUCUGUUCAUCCCUAGGUCAACAUUCUUCAGGGAGGCCAGAGGCUGCUCUGUAUUUAUUGUAACCCCAUCCUUCCUAGUCAUUAGUAUUUGUGGAAAGGAGACAGGGAGACCUGAAGUGGAAGAGCCCUAGCUCCCUACCCUGAACGUGUUCACGGAGCCCGACUGUGGUGAGCAGAUUGGAGCCGGAAGUCAGCGCCAGCUCCAGAAGACAGUGUGGACGACGUCGCGAAGGGACCAGCAGCCCGAGGAAGGCCGGCUGGUGCUGCUCUUUCUGCCUGCGGGAAGUCAAAGCACCCCUACCUAUUCAUGUCUGUCAGAGCUUCAGAUGAAAGAAAUGAGAUCAUCAGUGACAUACUUGCUGGUGGAACCUGACUGAGGCUCGGAUCCCGAUUCCUGGGGUCAGUGUUCUAUUAUCCACCUGGUGGCUCAGACCCCAAGCCUACCAUCCUAUGAUAAUGGUGUCACUUCCUGAUCUUGAAUAUUCUUCAUUGACACCAAGAACCAAACAGAAGACAGGUGUGGCUUCAAGGAGAACUACCUUGAGAGGAACAAAAAGAGAACUUGGGCAAUGCUCUGAAGGGGCUCUUCAACAUCACUAGAGGAAGGUAACACUUGCCUCUUCGGAAACCCCAAGUCACAAAAGUCUCUCUCUACCCUCAGGCAUUGAUUUCCCCCCUCUGGGCC